CUGUAUAUUGUACGUUUUUUCACUGAAGGACACCUGGUGGAUCCAACUCCCGUGGUUCCAGUUCACCAAACGAAUCCAAAGAUAAGGUGGCCAGAAGACAGAGCUUGAGUUACAGGCAGUUGUGAGCAGCUGGCCCUGAGGGCUGGGAACCAAAGUUGUUCCCUUUGGAAGAACAUGAAAGUCUCUUAAGCAUCGAGAGCCUCCCUCACACCACAAGGUCACAGAAAAAACUGAGAAGCACAAUGUCAAUGAGGUGGAUUCGACAGAAAACCUGAACCUUGGUGCUGCAACUUCAGUUCUUCAAGCACUUGAUGAAAAGGCUAAAGACCAAGUGGAGAACCAAGUAGAGCAUGGGUAAGGCUACAGUGAUUAUUUAACAGCAGACCCUAUUCUCCACUGAAGCUUGUGUGCCUGAUGAACAUGUCCUAUACUUCUUACACCUGGGACACUCUGUCUUGCAUGAUCAUAAGAUGUUAAUCAACAACCAGAUGCUAUUAUUUCCCAUUCUGCUAACAUAUUUUAU